UCACCAACCACACACGCCUUACCGAGACUUAACAGCGUGUCUAAAAAACAGUCUCUCAUACCCGACCUGGAGGGUAGGUUGGGAAUAUUUUACCGA
ncrna:unclassified sequences PhotoRC-II RNA